UACGGAGGGUGCUAGCGUUGUUCGGAAUCACUGGGCGUAAAGGGCGCGUAGGCGACUUUAUAAGUCGGGGGUGAAAGCCUGUGGCUCAACCACAGAAUUGCCUUCGAUACUGUAGAGCUUGAGACCGGAAGAGGUAAGUGGAACUGCGAGUGUAGAGGUGAAAUUCGUAGAUAUUCGCAAGAACACCAGUGGCGAAGGCGGCUUACUGGUCCGGUUCUGACGCUGAGGCGCGAAAGCGUGGGGAGCAAACAGG
rnacentral:rRNA from 1 species